rnacentral:rRNA from 1 species
AAUGAACGCUGGCGGCGUGCUUAACACAUGCAAGUCGCACGAGAACGCUUCAGCUUGCUGAGGCAAGUAAAGUGGCGCACGGGUGAGUAACGCGUGGGUAAUCUACCUUUGAAUCGGGGAUAACUCGCCGAAAGGCGUGCUAAUACCGGAUAAUAUCUAAAAGACUUCAGUUUUUUAGAUCAAAAGUGGCCUCUACAUGUAAGCUACUGUUUGAGGAUGAGCCCGCGUACCAUUAGCUUGUUGGUAGGGUAAUGGCCUACCAAGGCGACGAUGGUUAGCUGGUCUGAGAGGAUGAUCAGCCACACUGGAACUGACACACGGUCCAGACUCCUACGGGAGGCAGCAGUGAGGAAUUUUGCGCAAUGGGGGAAACCCUGACGCAGCAACGCCGCGUGAGUGAUGAAGGCCUUCGGGUCGUAAAGCUCUGUCAAGUGGGAAGAAACCACGCGAUGCUAAUAUCAUCGCGUACUGACGGUACCACUGAAGGAAGCACCGGCUAACUCCGUGCCAGCAGCCGCGGUAAUACGGGGGGUGCGAGCGUUAUUCGGAAUUACCGGGCGUAAAGAGCGCGUAGGCGGUCCUUUAAGUCAGGUGUGAAAGCCCGGGGCUUAACCCCGGAAGUGCACUUGAAACUA